rnacentral:rRNA from 1 species
UACGUAGGGGGCAAGCGUUGUCCGGAUUUAUUGGGCGUAAAGAGCGUGUAGGCGGCCAGACAGGUCCGUUGUGAAAACUCGAGGCUCAACCUCGAGACGCCGAUGGAAACCGUCUGGCUAGAGUCCGGAAGAGGAGAGUGGAAUUCCUGGUGUAGCGGUGAAAUGCGCAGAUAUCAGGAAGAACACCCGUGACUAAGGCGGCUCUCUAGUACGGUACUGACGCUGAGACGCGAAAGCGUGGGGAGCGAACAGG